GUGCUUGCUUCGGCAGCACAUAUACUAAAAUUGGAAUGAUACAAAGAAGAUUAGCAUGGCCCCUGGGUGAGGAUGACACGCAAAUUCGUGAAACAGUCCAUAUUUUU
rnacentral:snRNA from 1 species